rnacentral:rRNA from 1 species
GAUUAGCUAGUUGGUGGGGUAAUGGCCCACCAAGGCGACGAUCGGUAGCUGGUCUGAGAGGAUGAUCAGCCACACUGGGACUGAGACACGGCCCAGACUCCUACGGGAGGCAGCAGUGGGGAAUAUUGGACAAUGGGCGCAAGCCUGAUCCAGCAAUGCCGCGUGUGUGAAGAAGGCCUUCGGGUUGUAAAGCACUUUCAGUGGGGAGGAAAAGCGGGCGCUUAAUACGUGCUUGUCUUGACGUUACCUACAGAAGAAGCACCGGCUAACUCCGUGCCAGCAGCCGGGGUAAUA